rnacentral:rRNA from 1 species
UACAGAGGUCUCAAGCGUUGUUCGGAUUCAUUGGGCGUAAAGGGUGCGUAGGCGGAUUGUUAAGUCGGGGGUGAAAUCCUGGAGCUCAACUCCAGAACUGCCUUCGAUACUGGCGAUCUCGAGUCCGGGAGAGGUGAGUGGAACUGCGAGUGUAGAGGUGAAAUUCGUAGAUAUUCGCAAGAACACCAGUGGCGAAGGCGGCUCACUGGCCCGGUACUGACGCUGAGGUGCGAAAGCGUGGGGAGCAAACAGG